AUUGAACGCUGGCGGCAGGCCUAACACAUGCAAGUCGAGCGGAUGAGAGGAGCUUGCUUCUCGAUUCAGCGGCGGACGGGUGAGUAAUGCCUAGGAAUCUGCCUGGUAGUGGGGGACAACGUUUCGAAAGGAACGCUAAUACCGCAUACGUCCUACGGGAGAAAGCAGGGGACCUUCGGGCCUUGCGCUAUCAGAUGAGCCUAGGUCGGAUUAGCUAGUUGGUGAGGUAAUGGCUCACCAAGGCGACGAUCCGUAACUGGUCUGAGAGGAUGAUCAGGCAAACUGGAACUGAGAAACGGUCCAGACUCCUACGGGAGGCAGCAGUGGGGAAUAUUGGACAAUGGGCGAAAGCCUGAUCCAGCCAUGCCGCGUGUGUGAAGAAGGUCUUCGGAUUGUAAAGCACUUUAAGUUGGGAGGAAGGGUUGUAGAUUAAUACUCUGCAAUUUUGACGUUACCGACAGAAUAAGCACCGGCUAACUCUGUGCCAGCCGCCGCAGUAAUAC
rnacentral:rRNA from 1 species